rnacentral:lncRNA from 1 species
ACGAUACAACACUGAGAGGCCAGAACAAAGAGACGAGAGGAUGGCGGCGGUGCAGGCUGAUCGAGAUCGGGCCUGGCUGAGAGGGUCGCAGGAGAACAGGCACCCAGAUGUGCCGGGCAGUGGGUGCAGGUGCAGCCACACAGAAGGAGGGGCCGUGGAGGGCCCGACGCCCCGGUGACUGCACGGAGCGCCCGCGCCCGCCCCACCCCCGUCACCGUGAGGAAGUGGCAGCUGUGUUGACUUUUCGCGACCAGCAGCAGGACACCCCGGCUCAGCGCGCUCUGCUUGUGUGGCCCCCUCGCCACAGGACAGCUGGUGGCGAGCGAUGUAAGAACACUGUCAGUCAAGCAGGGACUCAGGUGGAGGAGAGACAACCAGGCCCCGGCCCCUUGCCGGCAGCUCUGGGCUCCGCUUCCGGCCGCCCGCACACUGCUGCUGCUCCGGGCGGGAAGAGCCCACAGCCCCCGGGACUAAGGCCAGUCUCCCUCCUCCCCAGACGGUGGAGUCCCAGCAGAGAACACUGUGAGCAGGGCCCCGCCCGCACACUGCUCCCCCAGGGCAGCGCAGAGGCCCCUCAGGGAGCGAGGGACAGUCCCCACACGGGAAUUGGAAAGCGCCCUUUCCCCACGCCAGGCCUCCCCCGCUAG